rnacentral:rRNA from 1 species
CCUACGCGAGGCAGCAGUGAGGAAUAUUGGUCAAUGGGCUUACGCCUGAACCAGCCAAGUCGCGUGAGGGAAGACUGCCCUAUGGGUUGUAAACCUCUUUUGUCAGGGAGCAAUUGGCGCUACGUGUAGCGUUAUCGAGAGUACCUGAAGAAAAAGCAUCGGCUAACUCCGUGCAAGAAGCCGCGGGAAUACGGAGGAUGCGAGGGUUAUCCGGUUUUAUUGGGUUAAAAGGGUGCGUAGGCGGAAUGCCAAGUCAGCGGUAAAAUCGCGGGGCUCAACCUCGCUCCGCCGUUGAAACUGGCGUUCUUGAGUGGGCGAGAAGUAUGCGGAAUGCGUGGUGUAGCGGUGAAAUGCUUAGAUAUCACGAAGAACUCCGAUUGCGAAGGCAGCCUGCUGGACUGUAACUGACGCUGAUGCUCGAAAGUGUGGGUAUCAAACAGGAUUAGAUACCCGUGUAGUC